GGAUGGUUAAUUAAAUUUGGAUUUUAAUCGCAGGUCAAAUGUUGGUUUGUUUAUAUUGUCUAAUAGUCAAACCAGACCAACUAGAAAUUCAACCUGAAGAUCAACUAGUGAAGCUACCGUAUGAUUGGCCGGUUAACACCGUCGUUACCGUUGACCUUGGAUACUGUUGAUGUGUUAUUUUCUGUUUUUACAGGACAAUUCAUUUCGGAUUUUGAAAAGGUCAAAUAUCAUCUGGUUCGUACUAUUUUCUAAUAACCAGACACGACCAGCUGGGAAUUCAACCUGAAGAUCAACAUGUCAAGUUACCAGGGGACUGAUUGGUUAGCACCGCUGCCCCUGGCCCCUCCGACACCAGCCCACCACCGCCGUCCUACUCCUUCCCCACCUCAGUCACUGAGAGAGAGGGAGAGAGAGAGAAGGAGAGAGAGAAGGAGAGAGGAGGGGGAGGAGAGAGAGAGAGAGAGAGAGAGAGAGAGAGAGAG
rnacentral:lncRNA from 1 species